CCUGCCUUUCCCAACUGCUCUCCAACAGCCAGAACUUCUGUGGCCUUAAACUACACUAAGCCUGCAGACUCACAGUGCAACAUACCCUCUGGUGAGGAAUACACACCAAGUUGUUGGUGCUGAUUCGACGGACCAUUUGGAGAGAACAGGUUGUACACCUGAAAUCUUAUUUCUUAGGACAUAUUAAAGUAAUUUUGAGUUAAAACUCCAUUCACUCACAGCAACAAGAGAGAUAAAACUGUUAGUAUUUAUCCAAAGAAGAAUGCUACUUUCUACUGUUGAUCUUGACAAAACAACCUCAGUGUCAUAAACCACUGAAAAACUACAUAGAAUCAAACUUGCUGGCAGAAGAACCAUGCCAUCAGUCUGUCUUCAAAUAGAGAUCAGGAGACGUUACAUUACUGACUGAAGUAAAAAUCUUUCUCCUGAUGUAGAACCUAAUUUUUCAAUACAUCUCCAGGCAAGAUAAUAUGACUAAAUUCAUUUGAAUUAUUUUAUUUCUACAUUUUGCUUCAUAGUAAAAGGAGUACAGGCAUGUUGCUCAGCCUCUGCAGCUGUCCAAUGGGCUCUUGUUACACACAUAAGACUUUCUUGCCUCUCUGUUCUUCAUAUUCAAAGACUGUGGGUUUGAGAAUCUAAAGCAUUUGAACCUGAAUAAUUUGUUUCAUGUUCCAGGCUGACAGCCUAGAUUUGAGGUAUGUGCAAAGGAAGACAAUAAUGACAGGUCUAGAAACAUCUAAUGCACAUAAACACAGCAGACACAGUCAGGAGUAUCCAUGAGACCUAAAGUAGUCCAAUGAGAUUGGGAUCUGAAAUGUGAAAUGACAAAGAAAUUCUUAUUGUGGCACAGCAAAGGAGGCAGAAUUAAUAUCCCAGAGCAGCAUGUGGCAAUGACAACACUCAGUGCUCCAUUCUGAAGGUGUCAGCAGUGUGAGCUGCAGGGGGGUUGUACCUGGUGACAAUGGAAGCUGUGUGCUCACCCAAGCAUGGAGUUCUGCAUGUGAUUUGUGCCAUUUUCCCUGAAAACGCAAUCUCUGAUCCUGAUUUUUCAUUCCCAUAUGAUUCCUAAUUUCCUUUUAG
rnacentral:lncRNA from 1 species